GUUAUAUCCGCAAAGGACUACAUGGCACACUUGAUAGCACGUAUGUAGGUUGUCAAUAUCAUUUGACCUAAACUUUCAUUCUUGACUUGUGCAUUGUACAAGCCUACGUUGGAAAAUGUCAGGACUUGUUAGACAUUCUUUAAACAGAAUUGUACCUGUUAUGCGUUCUAAUGUUGUACAAAAAGCCUCAGUCAUCUCAGGUCCACCAAGAAACCCUGUACCAUUUACGACAAAGCUUGCAGUUGGUGGUGUGAUGUGCUUUACUAUUGUUGCUCCCAUGUUCUGGAUAAUGGCCAAUAUCAAGCACUACAAAAAUCCCAAUGGUGUCUCUUCCUAAGUAGAGACAACAUUUUCUAGUGACCAGUGCUGCAAGGACAAGGAAGAAUGAGCUUGUCUGAGAUAUCGUUAUCACCUGAGUUAUAAAUUAUUACUUUGUUGAAUGAUUUGAAAUAGUUUGUGUGACAUUUUCAACACAUAAAUAGAUACGAUUUUUACUUAACUAAA